AUUGAACGCUGGCGGCAGGCCUAACACAUGCAAGUCGAGCGGGGACUUCGGUCCUAGCGGCGAACGGGUGAGUAAUGCUUGGGAAUCUGCCCAGUAGUGGGGGAUAACGUCCCGAAAGGGACGCUAAUACCGCAUACGUCCUACGGGAGAAAGAGGGGGAUCUUCGGACCUCUCGCUAUUGGAUGAGCCCAAAUCGGAUUAGCUAGUUGGUAGGGUAAUGGCCUACCAAGGCGACGAUCCGUAGCUGGUCUGAGAGGAUGAUCCGCCACACUGGAACUGAGACACGGGCCAAAACCCUAAGGGAGGGAGGCGGGGGGAAUAUUUGGAAAGGGGGGGAAGCCUUACCCCACCCAGCCCGGGGUGGGAAAAAGGGCCUCCGGGUUGAAAAGCCUUUUAAGAGGGGAGAAAGGUUGGGGGCCUAACACGGCGCGGAUUUACGGUUACCCAUAAAAAAAGCACCGCCAAACUCGUG
rnacentral:rRNA from 1 species